GACGAACGCUGGCGGCGUGCUUAACACAUGCAAGUCGAACGGUAAGGCCCUUCGGGGUACACGAGUGGCGAACGGGUGAGUAACACGUGGGUGAUCUGCCCUGCACUUCGGGAUAAGCCUGGGAAACUGGGUCUAAUACCGGAUAGGACUCCGGACUGCAUGGUCUGGGGUGGAAAGCUUUUGCGGUGUGGGAUGGGCCCGCGGCCUAUCAGCUUGUUGGUGGGGUGAUGGCCUACCAAGGCGACGACGGGUAGCCGGCCUGAGAGGGUGACCGGCCACACUGGGACUGAGAUACGGCCCAGACUGCUACGGGAGGCAGCAGUGGGGAAUAUUGCACAAUGGGCGCAAGCCUGAUGCAGCGACGCCGCGUGAGGGAUGACGGCCUUCGGGUUGUAAACCUCUUUCAGCACCGACGAAGCGCAAGUGACGGUAGGUGCAGAAGAAGGACCGGCCAACUACGUGCCAGCCGCCGCGGUAA
rnacentral:rRNA from 1 species